UACGUAUGGUGCGAGCGUUAUCCGGAUUUACUGGGUGUAAAGGGAGCGCAGGCGGUUCUGCAAGUCUGAUGUGAAAGCCCGGGGCUCAACCGCGGGACUGCAUUGGAAACUGCGGGACUGGAGUGUCGGAGGGGUAAGCGGAAUUCCUGGUGUAGCGGUGAAAUGCGUAGAUAUCAGGAGGAACACCGGUGGCGAAGGCGGCUUACUGGACGAUGACUGACGCUGAGGCUCGAAAGCGUGGGGAGCAAACAGG
rnacentral:rRNA from 1 species